rnacentral:rRNA from 1 species
AGUCGGACGGCAGCGGGGUAGUGCUUGCACUACUGCCGGCGAGUGGCGAACGGGUGAGUAAUAUAUUGGAACGUACCGAGUAAUGGGGGAUAACCAAUCGAAAGAUUGGCUAAUACCGCAUACGCUCUGAGGAGGAAAGCAGGGGACCUUCGGGCCUUGCGUUAUUCGAGCGGCCAAUAUCUGAUUAGCUAGUUGGUGGGGUAAAGGCCUACCAAGGCGAUGAUCAGUAGCGGGUCUGAGAGGAUGAUCCGCCACACUGGGACUGAGACACGGCCCAGACUCCUACGGGAGGCAGCAGUGGGGAAUUUUGGACAAUGGGCGCAAGCCUGAUCCAGCCAUGCCGCGUGUCUGAAGAAGGCCUUCGGGUUGUAAAGGACUUUUGUUAGGGAAGAAAAAGGAGCGGUUAAUACCCGUUUCUGCUGACGGUACCUAAAGAAUAAGCACCGGCUAA